GUGCCAGCCGCCGCGGUAAAACCAGCACCUCAAGUGGUCAGGAGGAUUAUUGGGCCUAAAGCAUCCGUAGCCUGUUCUAUAAGUUUCCGGUUAAAUCCAUUAGCUCAACUAAUGGGCUGCCGAAAAUACUGUAGAACUAGGGAGUGGGAGAGGUAGACGGUAUUCGGUAGGAAGGGGUAAAAUCCUUUGAUCUAUUGAGGACCACCUGUGGCGAAGGCGGUCUACCAGAACACGUUCGACGGUGAGGGAUGAAAGCUGGGGGAGCAAACCGGAUUAGAUACCCGGGUAGUCCCAGCUGUAAACGAUGCAGACUCGGUGAUGCGUUGGCUUGUGGCCAGUGCAGUGCCGCAGGGAAGCCGUUAAGUUUGCCGCCUGGGAAGUACGUACGCAAGUACGAAACUUAAAGGAAUUGGCGGGGGAGCACCACAAGGGGUGAAGCCUGCGGUUCAAUUGGAGUCAACGCCAGAAAUCUUACCCGAAGAGACAGCAGAAUGAAGGUCAAGCUGGAGACUUUACCAGACAAGCUGAGAAGUGGUGCAUGGCCGUCGCCAGCUCGUGCCGUGAGAUGUCCUGUUAAGUCAGGUAACGAGCGAGAUCCCUGCCUCUAGUUGCCACCAUUACUCUCAGGAGUAGUGGGGCGAAUUAGCGGGACCGCCGCAGUUAAUGCGGAGGAAGGAAGGGGCCACGGCAGGUCAGUAUGCCCUGAAACUUUGGGGCCACACGCGGGCUGCAAUGGUAGUGACAAUGGGUUCCGAAUCCGAAAGGAGGAGGCAAUCCUCAAACGCUACCACAGUUAUGAUUGAGGGCUGUAACUCGCCCUCAUGAAUAUGGAAUCCCUAGUAACUGCGUGUCAUUACCGCGCAGUGAAUACGUCCCUGCUCCUUGCACACACCGCCCGUC
rnacentral:rRNA from 1 species